rnacentral:rRNA from 1 species
GUAACAAGGUCUCCGUUGGUGAACCAGCGGAGGGAUCAUUACCGAGUUUACAACUCCCAAACCCCUGUGAACAUACCAAUUGUUGCCUCGGCGGAUCAGCCCGCUCCCGGUAAAACGGGACGGCCCGCCAGAGGACCCCUAAACUCUGUUUCUAUAUGUAACUUCUGAGUAAAACCAUAAAUAAAUCAAAACUUUCAACAACGGAUCUCUUGGUUCUGGCAUCGAUGAAGAACGCAGCAAAAUGCGAUAAGUAAUGUGAAUUGCAGAAUUCAGUGAAUCAUCGAAUCUUUGAACGCACAUUGCGCCCGCCAGUAUUCUGGCGGGCAUGCCUGUUCGAGCGUCAUUUCAACCCUCAAGCCCUCGGGUUUGGUGUUGGGGAUCGGCGAGCCUCACGGCAAGCCGGCCCCGAAAUAUAGUGGCGGUCUCGCUGCAGCUUCCAUUGCGUAGUAGUAAAACCCUCGCAACUGGUACGCGGCGCGGCCAAGCCGUUAAACCCCCAACUUCUGAAUGUUGACCUCGGAUCAGGUAGGAAUACCCGCUG